AACUCUGGAAAGAGAAUAUUUCUCGCCGAAGGAGCAAAUCUCUCAGGCACAAGGACAGAGGGGG
rnacentral:ncRNA from 1 species